rnacentral:rRNA from 1 species
UACGAAGGGGGCUAGCGUUGCUCGGAAUCACUGGGCGUAAAGCGCACGUAGGCGGAUUGUUAAGUCAGGGGUGAAAUCCUGGAGCUCAACUCCAGAACUGCCUUUGAUACUGGCGAUCUUGAGUCCGGGAGAGGUGAGUGGAACUGCGAGUGUAGAGGUGAAAUUCGUAGAUAUUCGCAAGAACACCAGUGGCGAAGGCGGCUCACUGGCCCGGUACUGACGCUGAGACGCGAAAGCGUGGGAGCA